rnacentral:rRNA from 1 species
AGCAGCCGCGGUAAUUCCAGCUCCAAUAGCGUAUAUUAAAGUUGUUGCAGUUAAAAGCUCGUAGUUGAACUUCGGGGUUUACCCAUUGGUCAGGCUUAAUUGUCUGUACUGGUGAGAUGAAUCUCUACCUUCUGAGGAACUUUCAUGCCAUUUAUUUGGUGUGAUUGGAAAUCAGGACUGCUACUUUGAAAAAAUUAGAGUGUUUAAAGCAGGCUAACGUCUGAAUACAUUAGCAUGGAAUAAUAAAAUAGGACGGUUGGUUCUAUUUUGUUGGUUUCUAGGAUCACCGUAAUGAUUAAUAGGGGUAGUUGGGGGCAUUAGUAUUCAAUUGUCAGAGGCGAAAAUUCUUGGAUUUAUUGAAGACUAACUACUGCGAAAAGCAUUUGCCAAGGAUGUUUUCAUUAAUCAAGAACGAAAAGUUAGGGGAUCGAAGACGAUCAGAUACCGUCGUAGUCUUAACCAUAAAACUAUGCCGACUAGGGAUCGGACGAAGUUAAUUUUUAAAAUGACUCGUUCGGCA